rnacentral:rRNA from 1 species
UACGUAGGGUGCAAGCGUUAAUCGGAAUUACUGGGCGUAAAGCGUGCGCAGGCGGUUUGCUAAGACAGGUGUGAAAUCCCCGGGCUUAACCUGGGAACUGCGCUUCUAACUGGCAGGCUUGAGUGUGGCAGGAGGGGGGUGGAAUUCCGACGUGUAGCAGUGGAAAUGCGUAGAGAUGUGGAGGAACACCGAUGGCGAAGGCAGCCCCCUGGGCUAACACUGACGCUCGAUGCACGAAAGCGUGGGGAGCAAACAGG